UGGUUCUGGCAUCGAUGAAGAACGCAGCGAAAUGCGAUAAGUAGUGUGAAUUGCAGAAUUCAGUGAAUCAUCGAAUCUUUGAACGCACAUUGCGCCCUUUGGUAUUCCUUAGGGCAUGCCUGUUCGAGCGUCAUCUAACCCCUUCAAGCGUGCUUGGUGUUGGGCGCUUGUCCCCUCGGGACUCGCCUUAAAAGCAUUGGUGGUCCGUCAUCGGCUCUGAGCGCAGCAGACGCGCGCCUCGGGCCCGUGGUGGGCGCCCACAAACACAACUCAUGUUUGACCUCGGAUCAGGUAGGGAUACCCGCUGA
rnacentral:misc_RNA from 1 species